ACAGAAGAUUACAUUGACUACUACAAGGAAGUGACUGAGGAAAUCAUUCAUGUGACUGAGGUGUGGAGCGUCAUUCCUGGAGGGGACAAAUCAGAGAACCUCCUCCCCCAGACCUCCCCCUUCUCUGGGGCUGCUGUUGCUUCAUCUCUCUGCUCCUUGGAGCUGGAGCCCUUACAGGUGACAGACCGCUACUGUCCAAUUACAUACAUACUGUACAUACUAUGCAGACCACCUACAGUAUUGGCCAGCUGGGUUUCUGUGUUUGUUGAGAGGGUGUCUGACCCUCCACAGCUUGAGGAAGCAAUAGAAUGUUUCUGUCAGGACUCCCAGGAUGCAGUGGAGCAACCAGAGAUCCUGACAUCCUGUGCCCUCACUGAGACCACCCAGGACCUGCUCUCUGAGCUCCACCAGACCUUUUGUUCUCUGGAGGAGCUGGGAAGUGCAGGGCCCAGUGGCCCAAGUACAGAGAGAGGCUCUACCCUGGAGGGGGAACUGGACAGUGGGGGCUCUGGGAGGAAUAUCCGGCCCUUCUCUCUCCAGGACUCCUCUCUGCUCAUCCCCCGUCGGAGGUCUGUACGCUCCAGACAGCUACAGGUCCCUGGAGUCCCUCUGUCCCGCAGGAACUCCAGCCGCAAUCCCCCAGCUCAGCACCUCCUCAGCCCCAGAGACAGGUUACCUGGAGGGGAGAAGGCCUUGCACAAGGAGGAGGCAGCAUGCUUCAGAUGCACCCCAGAGGAUAGGCUGGGUCACUGUAAGCUGGGCAGCUGGUGGAAACAAGCCCUGGAGACCCAAAGGGCAUUCUCUGGCCUACUACCUGCCAUAGAGCAGGUAUCCACCAUCUCAAAGAAAAGAGGGUCUCUCUCGUUCCUGGGCGACCCUACUCCAACAGUCUGGUCAGCAUCCAGGAGUCUCCAUCCAAGCAGAGAGGAGACAAGCAGGAGGUCAAAUAUGUAUGUAGAGGUCAUCUCUAUGUGGUCACUGGGCUUACAUGGAGGGUGUCAGUAUGGAGGGAAAUAUGCUCCGGUUGGCCAAUGGAGGGCGUUGUUGUCCAAGCUUGGAGGUUUUUAUUUUGUCUCUGAUUUGAAUAAUCUCACACCUACCCCCCCACGAGCCCAUCCCAGCAUGUAA
rnacentral:lncRNA from 1 species